rnacentral:rRNA from 1 species
UACAGAGGUGGCAAGCGUUGUUCGGAAUUACUGGGCGUAAAGGGCGCGUAGGCGGCCUUCUAAGUCGGACGUGAAAUCCCCAGGCUUAACUUGGGAACUGCGUCCGAUACUGGAGGGCUUGAGUGCGGCAGAGGGGGGUGGAAUUCCGCGUGUAGCAGUGAAAUGCGUAGAGAUGCGGAGGAACACCGAUGGCGAAGGCAGCCCCCUGGGCUGACACUGACGCUCAGGCACGAAAGCGUGGGGAGCAAACAGG